rnacentral:rRNA from 1 species
GACGAACGCUGGCGGCGUGCCUAAUACAUGCAAGUAGAACGCUGAAGGAGUAUCUUGCUCUUCUGGAUGAUUUGCGAACGGGUGAGUAACGCGUAGGUAACCUGCCUGGUAGCGGGGGAUAACUAUUGUAAACUAUAGCUAAUACCGCAUAAGAGUAGAUGUUGCAUGACAUUUGCUUAUAAUUUUCAAUUUCAUCACUACCACUUGCACCUGCGUUGUAUUAGCUAGUUGGUGGGGUAACGGCUCACCAAGGCGACGAUACAUAGCCGAACUGUGAGGGUGAUCGGCAAAAAUGGGAAUGGGACAAGGCCCAGAAGCCUAAGGGAGGCAGCAGUAGGGAAACAUCGGAAAUGGAGGGAAGUCUGACCGAGAAACGACGCGUGAGUGAAGAAGGGUUUCGGAUCGUAAAGCUCUGUUGUAAGAGAAGAAAGAGUGUGAGAGUGGAAAGUUCACACUGUGACGGUAUCUGACCAGAAAGGGACGGCUAACUACGUG